AGGAACUACACAAAAUGAUCACACAUUAGAAGUAAAUUUGGAAGUAAAACAAUCAUAACUAGCAUAUUCUGUUACUGAUGUAUAUAUACAUUGCAACAAAGAGGAAUAGUUGACAGUUUUCAUUCUCCAAAAUAUCUGUCUUCAUUGGCUCUCGCAUGAACUGCAAAUCUCAGCUCCUCCAAUAUGUGAGCGUCCAUGGAGUUUUCAAGUCAAUUUUUCAAGUUAAAUCCUUCGCUUUGACAUGAUAUCAGCCGUAAGGGUUCAUAUUCCUCAUUCCUCGAUCGAUUUCGUAAUUCUUCUAUGAUUUUCUUUGAUGAUUUUUGUGUUUUUUUCCGCACCAAUCACACCUAUUUUCUCCAUUGAUACAGCUGUUUUUGGCUUCUCUUCAUCUCAACAAUGGAUAAUAACACACCGGAAACCACCAAUCUGAAUUCGAGCACCUCACAUGAAACUUUCAAUUCGAACAAUGUUUUAUACAUGCAUCCCUCAGAAAAUGCCAGUUCAUCGAUUAUUCCAACUCAGCUCAAUGGUACAAGUCAAGGAGGAGAGGAGUACUUUGCGCUCUGUCCGUGAAAAACAAAAUCGGUUUCAUCAAUGGAAAACUUCAAAAACCUGAUGUUGAUUCCCCUGAAUUUGUGUAAUGGGAACGCUGCGAUGAUAUGGUAUGAUCAAACAAAUGGUGCUAGAUCGUACCAACUUCAACAAGAAAUUGACAGACCUCACUCAAGAGAACCUAGACAUCACAGGCUAUUGCACUAAUGCUAGACGCUUAUGGGAGGAGUUGAGUGCUUUGGAUGCGAAUACUUAGAGCACCUGUGUGUGCAUUUGUGGAGGUAAGAAUAAGAUGCAAAACGCUGAGCAAGAUAGACGUUUGAUUCAGUUCCUAAUUGUCCUAAACGAGAUCUAUACAGUGGUUCGGGGAAGUAUAUUGAUGAUGAAUCCCCCGCCUACAAUGGCUCAAGCUUUUUCUAUCCUCAUCUAGGAAUAGAAGCAAAGAGAGGUCCGACUUGCUAAUAGACUUCAUUUGGAAUCUACUUCCUUAGUUGUUAUCAACUACUCUGCUGGCACCUCUGGGUAUAAGACCACAGGUGCUAGUUCUAGUAAUGGGGCCUUCAAAACCAAUUAUGCACCAGCUCACACACCCUUUUGAAAUGGGGGCACGAGUGCAUACAGGAUGAUUGGUUCGUCUUUUGGAAAUUACUCUGCAAGUCAGUUCACUAACAGGAAUGAUCUGUUCUGCAACUAUUGUAAGAAAAGUGGCCACAUAUAGGUCAAGUUUUACAAGCUACAUGGACAUCCACUCUAUUUCAAGUUUACCAAAGGUAAGAAUGUAGCUCAGGAGCAACUAAUAUCUUGGCAAGUACUGAUAGCUAGCCUCUUAGAGAUCAUGAUGAAUGUAUCAAGCAUGCAACUCAACAUCCUCAUAGUUUGACAAAAUACCAGUACAACCAACUUUUGACUCUACUGGUGAAUGUCCAUGUGAAUGGAGAUGAUGCAACUGAGAAUCCAAGAGAAUCAGUGGAUGACUUCAUCAAUGGCCAUAGUGUUGUAAAUCUUACAGGGUCCUUCACUGAAGAGUCCUCUAGAGAUUGGUAGAGCAAGAAGAGUUCUGUGUUACCUCUUUGCAGGCUGCCACAAUUGCUCUCCAUCUUGUUGCUCUUCCUCUACUCCUCAAAUUUUACCUGUUUUAUCAUCUUCUACUUAUUCAUCUCUUCCUAGUUUAGCAUCAUCUAGAUCUGAAUGCUCAUCUUCAUUGUCUUCUUUAUCUGUAUUAAACAAGCAAGAUGUUGCUAUAUACUCUACUUCACUUGUAAGAUCCACAUCUCCACGUAAUAAACUUGUUCGCAAUCCUAAUCCUAGUUAUUUUUCAGAUUCAA